CAGGACGAACGCUGGCGGCGUGCUUAACACAUGCAAGUCGAACGCUGAAGCCUGGUGCUUGCACCGGGUGGAUGAGUGGCGAACGGGUGAGUAAUACGUGAGUGACCUGCCUUUGACUCUGGGAUAAGCCUGGGAAGCUGGGUCUAAUACCGGAUGCGACUACUGCCCGCAUGGGCUGGUGGUGGAAAGGGUUAUGUACUGGUCUUAGAUGGGCUCACGGCCUAUCAGCUGGUUGGUGGGGUAAUGGCCUACCAAGGCGACGACGGGUAGCCGGCCUGAGAGGGUGACCGGCCACACUGGGACUGAGACACGGCCCAGACUCCUACGGGAGGCAGCAGUGGGGAAUAUUGCACAAUGGGCGCAAGCCUGAUGCAGCGACGCCGCGUGAGGGAUGACGGCCUUCGGGUUGUAAACCUCUUUCAGCAGGGAAGAAGCGGAAGUGACGGUACCUGCAGAAGAAGCGCCGGCUAACUACGUGCCAGCAGCCGCGGUAAUACGUAGGGCGCAAGCGUUGUCCGGAAUUAUUGGGCGUAAAGAGCUCGUAGGCGGCUUGUCGCGUCUGCUGUGAAAGCCCGGGGCUUAACUCCGGGUGUGCAGUGGGUACGGGCAGGCUAGAGUGCAGUAGGGGUAACUGGAAUUCCUGGUGUAGCGGUGAAAUGCGCAGAUAUCAGGAGGAACACCGAUGGCGAAGGCAGGUUACUGGGCUGUUACUGACGCUGAGGAGCGAAAGCAUGGGGAGCGAACAGGAUUAGAUACCCUGGUAGUCCAUGCCGUAAACGUUGGGCACUAGGUGUGGGGGGACAUUCCACGUUUUCCGCGCCGUAGCUAACGCAUUAAGUGCCGUAAACGUUGGGCACUAGGUGUGGGGGACAUUCCACGUUUUCCGCGCCGUAGCUAACGCAUUAAGUGCCCCGCCUGGGGAGUACGGCCGCAAGGCUAAAACUCAAAGGAAUUGACGGGGGCCCGCACAAGCGGCGGAGCAUGCGGAUUAAUUCGAUGCAACGCGAAGAACCUUACCAAGGCUUGACAUACACCGGAUCGUUCCAGAGAUGGUUCUUCCCUUUUGGGCUGGUGUACAGGUGGUGCAUGGUUGUCGUCAGCUCGUGUCGUGAGAUGUUGGGUUAAGUCCCGCAGCGAGCGCAACCCUCGUUCUAUGUUGCCAGCACGUGAUGGUGGGGACUCAUAGGAGACUGCCGGGGUCAACUCGGAGGAAGGUGGGGAUGACGUCAAAUCAUCAUGCCCCUUAUGUCUUGGGCUUCACGCAUGCUACAAUGGCCGGUACAAUGGGUUGCGAUACUGUGAGGUGGAGCUAAUCCCAAAAAGCCGGUCUCAGUUCGGAUUGGGGUCUGCAACUCGACCCAUGAAGUCGGAGUCGCUAGUAAUCGCAGAUCAGCAACGCUGCGGUGAAUACGUUCCCGGGCCUUGUACACACCGCCCGUCAAGUCACGAAAGUUGGUAACACCCG
rnacentral:rRNA from 1 species